rnacentral:rRNA from 1 species
UACGUAGGUGGCAAGCGUUGUCCGGAUUUAUUGGGCGUAAAGAGCUCGUAGGCGGUUCAGUAAGUCGGGUGUGAAAACUCUGGGCUCAACCCAGAGACGCCACCCGAUACUGCUGUGACUUGAGUACGGUAGGGGAGUGGGGAAUUCCUGGUGUAGCGGUGAAAUGCGCAGAUAUCAGGAGGAACACCAGUGGCGAAGGCGCCACUCUGGGCCGUAACUGACGCUGAGGAGCGAAAGCGUGGGUAGCAAACAGG